rnacentral:lncRNA from 1 species
AAUUGUAUAACAUAAUUAAUUCAUUAAAAGGAUAAAAAAUUAUAUAUAUAUAUAUAGAGAGAGAGAGAGAGAGAGAGAGUCCGGUUGGCUUACUAUCGAUAGCCCCAAGCGUUCGGUACUAUCAAGUUUUCUACCGUUAGAUUUAACCCUUUGAUUAUUUUUAUCCGUUAGACUAUACUAUUAAACAUAGUUAGUUAAUUCGGAUUCGGCAAAAAUUCGGUACGGGUAUAAUUCGGAUAAAAUUCGUCUUCUAGUUUUUAAAUUCGUUGAAAAA